ACUCAAAGGAAUUGACGGGGGCUCACACAAGCGGUGGAGCAUGUGGAUUAAUUCGAAGCAACGCGCAGAACCUUACCUGGGUUUGACAUGUUUGGAUGUCUUUCUGGAAACAGAGGAGAUUGCCUCCUUCGGGAGGUGAAACUUACACAGGUGCUGCAUGGCUGUCGUCAGCUCGUGUCGUGAGAUGUUGGGUUAAGUCCUUAAACGAGCGAAACCCUUACUGUUAGUUACCAUCAGGUUAAGCUGGGGACUCUAACAGGACUGCCGGUGUUAAACCGGAGGAAGGCGGGGAUGACGUCAAGUCCUCAUGGCCUUUAUGCCCAGGGCUUCACACGUGCUACAAUGGCAAUGACAGAGCGAAGCAAUACCGUGAGGUGGAGCAAAUCGCAUAAACAUUGCCUCAGUUCGGAUUGCAGGCUGACAACUCGCCUGCAUGAAGUUGGAAUCGCUAGUAAUCGCGUAUCAGCUAUGACGCGGUGAAUAUGUUCCUGAGCCUUGUACACACCGCCCGU
rnacentral:rRNA from 1 species